AUUGAACGCUGGCGGCAGGCCUAACACAUACAAGUCGAGCGGCAGCGGGAAAGUAGCUUGCUACUUUUGCCGGCGAGCGGCGGACGGGUGAGUAAUGCCUGGGAAAUUGCCCAGUCGAGGGGGAUAACAGUUGGAAACGACUGCUAAUACCGCAUACGCCCUACGGGAGAAAGCAGGGGACCUUCGGGCCUUGCGCGAUUGGAUAUGCCCAGGUGGGAUUAGCUAGUUGGUGAGGUAAUGGCUCACCAAGGCGACGAUCCCUAGCUGGUCUGGGAGGAUGAUCAGCCACACUGGAACUGAGACACGGUCCAGACUCCUACGGGAGGCAGCAGUGGGGAAUAUUGCACAAUGGGGGAAACCCUGAUGCAGCCAUGCCGCGUGUGUGAAGAAGGCCUUCGGGUUGUAAAGCACUUUCAGCGAGGAGGAAAGGUUGAUGCCUAAUACGUAUCAACUGUGACGUUACUCGCAGAAGAAGCACCGGCUAACUCCGUGCCAGCCGCCGCGGUAA
rnacentral:rRNA from 1 species